GCACACGCGUACCUUUAUUCCACAUAGGUGUGUAAAGGGUAUUGUUCAAUUGUUGUAAUGUUUUGAUCAGUUAGAUUCACAUGUUGUUUCACAUAUAUAGUAUUAAAGUUGAAUUUUGGUAAAUUUAUUGUGUCACCCUUAUGUUUACUUUAACUAAUGAGGUAUUGUUUUCGUUAUAAUUAAAGGUGAAUUUACGAUUUAAAGAUGAUGGGUAUCUCAAGCUUGUUGGUCCCGUGGGGAGUACCAUGGCAAAUGACAAGUGGCAUAAGAAGUUGCGUAUGAAGUUUGAUGAAGGAUUGUUAAGUUUUGUUCUUUAUAGCGUGGAGUUGGAUGUGAUUUGGAUGAAGGGUUGUUAAGUUUGGGUGAGGGAAGGGAAAACAAACCCUUAGUAAUGCGACAUAUAAAAGAUUUUGAACCUAC
rnacentral:lncRNA from 1 species